UCCGGUUUGUCACCGGCGGUCUCCUUAGAGUACCCAACUAAAUGAUGGUAACUAAAGUCGAGGGUUGCGCUCGUUGCGGGACUUAACCCAACAUCUCACGACACGAGCUGACGACAGCCAUGCAGCACCUGUGUGUAGGUCCCCGAAGGGAAGAAAUCCAUCUCUGGAAGUCGUCCUACCAUGUCAAACGCUGGUAAGGUUCUGCGCGUUGCUUCGAGUUAAACCACAUGCUCCACCGCUUGUGCAGGCCCCCGUCAAUUCCUUUGAGUUUUAACCUUGCGGCCGUACUCCCCAGGCGGUCGACUUCACGCGUUAGCUUCGUUACUGAGAGUGUCAAACCCCCAACAACCAGUCGACAUCGUUUAGGGCGUGGACUAC
rnacentral:misc_RNA from 1 species